UCCAGGCUAAGGAAGGAAUUCCUUCUGAUCAGCAAAGCCUGAUCUUUGCAGGUAAGCAGCUGGAAGAUGGAUGUACUUUAUCUGACUACAGCAUUCAAAAGGAGUCCACUCUUCACCUAGUGUUGAGAUUUCAGGAGUGGUCUAAGAAUUCUUCUU